UGAAACUGUUCCUUUUUAUUUUUGGUUUUUGAAGUUUCUCCCGUCACUACAUUAAGUUUGUUUCUAUAAAUACUUUACCGUUUUAUUUUUUAAAAAACCUUCAUAUUUAAUUUUCAGAUAUGGAUCAGAUUAACAACAGUCCUUCAUUUCUAAAGCUUAUUGAGGAAGAUGACCCAAUACUUUUGCAAAUACCUAAUGACUUUGCUUCAAUGAUGUGGGGAGACCAACCACCUUACAAAGAAUCUGUUAAGAUUGUUGAUGGCAACAAGUUAUGGUUUGUAAGACUGAAAAAACUGAUUUGGGCCCUGUUUUUGCUGAUGGCUUCACCAAAGUUGUUCGGGAUAGUUGUAUAAGAAAAAAUGACUAUCUUAUGUUUCAGUCCUUUGGACCAUCAUCAUUCUUUCUUUCGGUGUUUAAAUCAUUUGUUCAUCAAAACUGCUUUAUAUCCAAAAUCACACCUGAGAAGACGUUAUUGUCAUGGCUGAUGAAUUUUGGAGGCAAUUUUAUGGGAAAAAUUUCAAAGGUUGUCAAUCAACUCUUUAUUUAAGAGAUAGAUUUUGGAACAUUAAGAUGGACAGAUUAACUGACAGUUGUGUUUUUACUCAUGGAUGUUCUGAGAUGGUAAACGAUCUUGCCUUAGACAGGCGAUCUACCUUUGUCUUUGCAAUGGCUGGAUAUAAAACUUUCAAGCUUUCAGUCUUUAAUCAUCAAACCGGUACUGAAAUUCAGAACAACAAGGUUGACUUAGUUGUUUUGGAUGACUCGAUCUAUGGUGAUGACGGUUAUGAUUUGGUUAUCGCUGUAAC